GCCCUAGUAACGGCGAGUGAAGCGGCAACAGCUCAAAUUUGAAAUCUGGCGCAAGCCCGAGUUGUAAUUUGUAGAGGAUGCUUCUAGGUAGCGACCGGUCUAAGUUCCUUGGAACAGGACGUCAUAGAGGGUGAGAAUCCCGUAUGUGACUGGCCCGCACCUUCUACGUAGCUCCUUCGACGAGUCGAGUUGUUUGGGAAUGCAGCUCUAAAUGGGAGGUAAAUUUCUUCUAAAGCUAAAUACCGGCCAGAGACCGAUAGCGCACAAGUAGAGUGAUCGAAAGAUGAAAAGCACUUUGGAAAGAGAGUUAAAAAGCACGUGAAAUUGUUGAAAGGGAAGCGCUCACAACCAGACUUCUAGGCAGUGUUCCGCCGGUCUUUUGACCGGUCUACUCUCUGUCUCGAGGCCAACAUCAUCUGGGACCGCUGGAUAAGACCUUAGGAAUGUAGCUCCCCUCGGGGAGUGUUAUAGCCUCUGGUGAUGCAGCGAGUCUCGGGUGAGGUCCGCGCUUCGGCAAGGAUGUUGGCGUAAUGGUUGUCAGCGGCCCGUCUUGAAACACGGACCAAGGAGUCUAACAUCUAUGCGAGUGUUCGGGUGUCAAACCCCUACGCGUAAUGAAAGUGAACGGAGGUGGGAAGCGUAAGCUGCACCAUCGACCGAUCCUGAUGUCCUCGGAUGGAUUUGAGUAAGAGCAUAGCUGUUGGGACCCGAAAGAUGGUGAACUAUGCCUGAAUAGGGUGAAGCCAGAGGAAACUCUGGUGGAGGCUCGCAGCGGUUCUGACGUGCAAAUCG
rnacentral:rRNA from 1 species